AACGAACGCUGGCGGCAGGCUUAACACAUGCAAGUCGAACGCCCCGCAAGGGGAGUGGCAGACGGGUGAGUAACGCGUGGGAACAUACCCUUUCCUGCGGAAUAGCUCUGGGAAACUGGAAUUAAUACCGCAUACGCCCUACGGGGGAAAGAUUUAUCGGGGAAGGAUUGGCCCGCGUUGGAUUAGCUAGUUGGUGGGGUAAAGGCCUCCCAAGGCGACGAUCCAUAGCUGGUCUGAGAGGAUGAUCAGCCACAUUGGGACUGAGACACGGCCCAACCUCCUACGGGAGGCAGCAGUGGGGAAUAUUGGACAAUGGGCGCAAGCCUGAUCCAGCCAUGCCGCGUGAGUGAUGAAGGCCUUAGGGUUGUAAAGCUCUUUCACCGAUGAAGAUAAUGACUGUAGCCGGAGAAGAAGCCCCGGCUACUUCGUGCCAGCCGCCGCCGUAACAC
rnacentral:rRNA from 1 species